GGCGGGUCCAUCCAAGCCUCCACAAUGAGAUUCAUGAAGAAUCAAGAAAGUAUUCCAGAGAGAUAUGCCGGCUUUUCCAACAUUUGUCAGAGGGUGGACUCCUCAUGCCUCACUCAGCAACCACAGUUACUGAAAGGCAGGUCUUACUGACGCUCCGAGAGCUGAAAAUGUGAGAAGGUGAUGCAACUGACCAGAAUACGCCUUGCCAGCAGGACACAAGACUUUCCAAUCACGUCUGGCUUAUCUUCUGAAUCAGGAAAACAAAUGCCAUCUCUUACCAGGGACACAGCAAAAAUAGAAUGAUUGAUGUGACUUGGCACCUACUGCGCUGAAUGCCUGAAGUGGAAGCUGUGGAUCAGAGGCAGACCCAGGGUGGCUGAUCAUUUGUAUACUGAGUUCAUAACCAGACAGCCAUUGUUCUGAUGCAAACAGAGAGGCUGUGUAUGUACUGAAACUGAAAUACAGGAGAACACGAUCUGGGCAAGGAUUAAACAACAUUGUAUCCUCUCUUCCACUGUGACUUCUGGACAUCACAGUACCUCCAUCACAAAAGUACAUCUACGCAGGUACUUCAGCCGUGGGCACUCUGGUUUUCACGUCUGGUUCUGUAGAUAAAAUUAGGAGUUAUAGAUAAUAGGCAGAUGCAUAAUGUUUCAAUGAUAUGGGCAUGUAUAUGGCUUAUGUCUCUAUUAAGUCCGUUAUCUACA